rnacentral:tRNA from 1 species
GGCGAUGUGGCUGAGUGGUUAAGCGCUUGUCUUUCGAACCUGGGCUCCUGGGUUCGAAUCUCGGUGUAGACU